rnacentral:misc_RNA from 1 species
AACGCACAUUGCGCCCGCCAGUAUUCUGGCGGGCAUGCCUGUUCGAGCGUCAUUUCAACCCUCAAGCCCCAGCGGUUUGGUGUUGGGGACCGGCGAGUACAGAGGCUCUGGGGACUUGUCCCCCUUCCCCUCGGCGCCGCCCCCGAAAUGAAUUGGCGGUCUCGUCGCGGCCUCCUCUGCGUAGUAGCACAACCUCGCAUCAGGAGCGCGGCGCGGCCACUGCCGUAAAACGCCCAACUUUUUUUAAGAGUUGACCUCGAAUCAGGUAGGAAUACCCGCUGAACUUAA